UGCGAAGGGGGCUAGCGUUGCUCGGAAUCAUUGGGCGUAAAGCGCACGUAGGCGGCUAGAUAAGUCGGGUGUGAAAGCCCUGGGCUCAACCCAGGAAGUGCAUUCGAAACUGUCUAGCUUGAAUCUCGGAGGGGGUCAGAGAAUUCCCGGUGUAGAGGUGAAAUUCGUAGAUAUCGGGAGGAAUACCAGUGGCGAAGGCGCUGACCUGGACGAAGAUUGACGCUGAGGUGCGAAAGCGCGGGGAGCAAACAGG
rnacentral:rRNA from 1 species